AGUGAACGCUGGCGGUAGGCCUAACACAUGCAAGUCGAACGGCAGCACAGUAAGAGCUUGCUCUUACGGGUGGCGAGUGGCGGACGAGUGAGGAAUACAUCGGAAUCUACUUUUUCGUGGGGGAUAACGUAGGGAAACUUACGCUAAUACCGCAUACGACCUACGGGUGAAAGCAGGGGAUCUUCGGACCUUGCGCAAUUGAAUGAGCCGAUGUCGGAUUAGCUAGUUGGCGGGGUAAAGGCCCACCAAGGCGACGAUCCGUAGCUGGUCUGAGAGGAUGAUCAGCCACACUGGAAUUGAGACACGGUCCAGACUCCUACGGGAGGCAGCAGUGGGGAAUAUUGGACAAUGGGCGCAAGCCUGAUCCAGCCAUACCGCGUGGGUGAAGAAGGCCUUCGGGUUGUAAAGCCCUUUUGUUGGGAAAGAAAAGCAGCAGGUUAAUACCCCGCUGUUCUGACGGUACCCAAAGAAUAAGCACCGGCUAACUUCGUG
rnacentral:rRNA from 1 species